CAUCUGACUUAUGUGAGAAGGUUGAAGAAGGAGCAACGGUAACUAGGUGGGAUCUUCCGAUCUGCAGGGAGCUAUGGCAGUGGCGAGUCGAAAGGGGGUGGACAAUGAUGCUGUUGGCCAAGGUUAGGGGAGCUGAAAGGAUAGGGAUGCCAUAGCCUCCAAUGCCUCUAGGGGGAUUAGCUUGGUUAGGGCUGCGAAGGUGGGGUCUGAUUGACUAGUCUGACAAGGAAUCAGGUAUGGGGGACAGAGGGGAGAUAGACUUUUACCCCUC
rnacentral:lncRNA from 1 species